rnacentral:rRNA from 1 species
UACAGAGGUCUCAAGCGUUGUUCGGAAUUACUGGGCGUAAAGGGUGCGCAGGCCGCGCGGCCAGUCAAAUGUGUAAUUCAGGGGCUCAACCCCUGCACUGCGCUUGAUACUUCCGCGCUCGAACCUUGGAGAGGAGUCUGGAAUUCUCGGUGUAGCAGUGAAAUGCGUGGAUAUCGAGAAGAACACUUAGGGCGAAAGCAAGACUCUGGACAAGUGUUGACGCUCAUGCACGAAGGCUAGGGUAGCGAACGGG